rfam:Ictidomys tridecemlineatus contig094834, whole genome shotgun sequence.
AGGGUUGUGGCUUAGUGGUAGAGCACUUGCCUCAUACAUGUGAGACACUGGGUUUGAUCCUCAGCACCACUU